rnacentral:rRNA from 1 species
CCUACGGGAGGCAGCAGUGAGGAAUAUUGGUCACUGGGCGCGAGCCUGAACCAGCCAAGUCGCGUGAGGGAUGACGGUCCUACGGAUUGUAAACCUCUUUUGCCGGGGAGCAAGCGUGCGUUCGUGAACGCGCGUCGAGAGUACCCGGAGAAAAAGCAUCGGCUAACUCCGUGCCAGCAGCCGCGGUAAUACGGAGGAUGCGAGCGUUAUCCGGAUUUAUUGGGUUUAAAGGGUGCGUAGGCGGGAUGCCAAGUCAGCGGUAAAAAUGCGGUGCUCAACGCCGUCGAGCCGUCGGAACCGGGGGCCUUGAGUACCGGAGAAGGACGCGGAAUGCGUGGUGUCGCGGUGAAAUGCAUAGAUAUCACGCAGAACCGCGAUUGCGAAGGCAGCGUACCGGCCGGUCACUGACGCUGAGGCACGAAAGCGCGGGUAUCGAACAGGAUUAGAUACCCCAGUAGUC